rnacentral:rRNA from 1 species
UACAGAGGGGGCAAGCGUUGUUCGGAAUUACUGGGCGUAAAGGGCGCGUAGGUGGCCUGCUAAGUCGAACGUGAAAUCCCUGGGCUCAACCCAGGAACUGCGUCCGAUACUGGUUGGCUUGAAUCCGGGAGAGGGAUGUGGAAUUCCAGGUGUAGCGGUGAAAUGCGUAGAUAUCAGGAGGAACACCGGUGGCGAAGGCGGCUUUCUGGACGACAACUGACGCUGAGACGCGAAAGCGUGGGGAGCAAACAGG